rnacentral:tRNA from 1 species
GCCUCGAUGGUGAAAUUGGUAGACACAUCGCACUUAAAAUGCGCCGCCGCAAGGUGUGCCGGUUCGACUCCGGCUCGAGGCACCA